rnacentral:rRNA from 1 species
CAGUAGCCGCGGUAAUGCGUAGGGUGCAAGCGUUAAUCGGAAUUACUGGGCGUAAAGCGUGCGCAGGCGGUUAUAUAAGUCAGAUGUGAAAUCCCCGGGCUCAACCUGGGAACUGCAUUUGAGACUGUAUGGCUGGAGUGUGUCAGAGGGGGGUAGAAUUCCACGUGUAGCAGUGAAAUGCGUAGAGAUGUGGAGGAACACCGAUGGCGAAGGCAGCCCCCUGGGCCAAUACUGACGCUCAUGCACGAAAGCGUGGGGAGCAAACAGGAUUAGAUACCCCUGUAGUCCCUGUCUCUUAUAC